rnacentral:rRNA from 1 species
UACGUAGGGGGCUAGCGUUGUCCGGAAUCAUUGGGCGUAAAGCGCGUGUAGGCGGCCCGAUAAGUCCGCUGUGAAAGUCCAGGGCUCAACCCUGGGAUGCCGGUGGAUACUGUCGGGCUCGAGUCCGGAAGAGGCGAGUGGAAUUCCUAGUGUAGAGGUGAAAUUCGUAGAUAUUAGGAAGAACACCAGUGGCGAAGGCGGCUCACUGGCCCGGUACUGACGCUGAGGCGCGAAAGCGUGGGGAGCAAACAGG